CAGCUGGCCCCUAAACAAAAAUAUAUACUAGGUCAGUGAUAAUGGACGUAAUACUUAACUCCGAAAUAUACACAAGAAACUAAAUUUGAAAAUCAAACAAAACUUACAAAGGCAAAAGGCUCCUGGCGCAAAAAUGCGGCGGGGUUAAACAUGUUUUUUGAGAUCUCACCUCUAGCCAAUGUAGAAAAAACAAACACAACAAUAUGCACAGUAAAAUUCAGUUCAUAAAGAAGUCCGAAUCCGGUGUCAGAAUAGAUAACAAAAGAAACUAAGCAAAAUGACAAUGAUACAUAAAUUAACAAAGGACUACUAGUAGUUACUGACAUGCCAGCUCCACCCCUCAAUUAAACUGACUGCAAGAUUAUGUGUUCAUCAUUAGUAUAUGUAAAGACAAAACUGGUAUAAUUUAAGACAUUUAAAGAUGAAAUAAACACUAAUACAGAGAACAACUAUAAAUUAAAAUCUAUUUAGUUCAGCUUCAAUGAUGAAUAUCCAGUUUGUGGGGUCGCAGACCAUCUAAUGUCUUUUCACC
rnacentral:lncRNA from 1 species